GAGGAAUCAUCUGCUCCGCUGGGCAGGCCACAAAACCAAGUCAGCCAUGUGUAGACUUCAGGAUCAUGCUGGUGUUUGUGCAGAAUCCAGGCAGGGUCUAUGCUGAGCUGAAGGAUUAGCUGUGUUCGCUUAAUCAACAUCUAAUCAGCAGGAACCUUGAGAAACAAGCAGCUGUGAGGUUCUUUCUUGAUUUCUUGAUGUUUCGAUGAUAUUCUUCCAAACUUCCAAAAUAUCAGAGAAAAUUCAAGUUCCCUUAAAAUUUUUAGUCUGGCUAUCAUUCUGUAGAAUAUUUUAACCAUUGUGUAAGUUCAACUCGUUAGUGUGAAAUCUGUGUUGUUGCAACUCUUUCAUGGUACGAUAAUAUGAUACAAUACUACGAUACGAUAAGAUACGAUAUGAUACGAUAAGAUAUGAUAAGAUAAGAUACAAUACCUUACAAUACCAUACAAUACUACGAUACGAUACAAUACUACAAAACAAUACUACAAUACGAUAAGAUACGAUACAAUACUACAAAACAUAAAAUACGAUACAAUAAGAUACAAUACUAUGAUACAAUACUACGCUAGAUACAAUACUACGAUAUGAUAGGAUAUGAUACCAUUCUACGUUACAAUACGAUACAACACUACGAUAGGAUAAAAUAGAAUACUAUGAUACGAUACAAUACGAUACAAUUCGACGAUAUAAUACUACGAUACAAUACGAUAAAGUACUACGAUAGGAUAAAUUAGAAUACUAUGAUACGAUAUAAUACGACUAUAUAAUACUACGGUACAAUACGAUACAGUACUACGAUAUGAUAAGAUUCUACACCAUUCUAGCAUAUAAUACAAUGCUACAGACCAAAAGAUGCGAUACAAUACUCGAUACGAUACAAUACUACAAUACUACAAUACGAUAAGAUACGAUACAUUACAAUACAAUACUAUGAUACAAUACAAUACUACGAUACGAUAAGAUAUGAUACCAUUCUACAAUACGAUACGAUACGAUAUGAUACAGUACUACGAUAAGAUACGAUACGAUACAAUACAAUACAAUACGAUAUGGUACAAUACGAUGCAACAUGACUUAUUUUCCCUGUAGGGUAGGUUGUCUUGGAUUUAUGUGCUGCCCAAUUUUGCUGCCACAUUAUUAUAAAUAAAUACUUAAAAAUGAAGUGUGAAAAACAAAAUUGAGUGACUCACUUGUACGCAGAGAAUCAGGGACCAAUAACAACCACAAACAACCUGAUUUACGUUUUCCUUAUUGCACAUAAAAGUGGUACCACACAGUAUAAGCAUGUGGAGUUAAAACACAUGAAGGUAGUGUUUUGCAGCUUACAAUUUUAUGAAUAAAAGAUUUUAAGAAAAACUGAGAUGGAGUUGAAAAACAGCAUCUUCAUGGAUGUUUGGCUGCAGCUACACAGAAACAUCUAUUCAUAGACAUUAAUAAACUAGCUCAACUGCAAGUGAAUCACCUGUAAACAAUUACUCGAACUACAUACAGAAAACCAGGACACUCAAGAUAAAAGAGUACUGUCUUUCUCUUGCAAAUUGAUCGAAUAUGAAUUGAUUUUUUUAAUAAUGUGCAAAAGGAGAUUAUCCUGUAUGCACAUAUUUUUGGAGGCACAGGCAAUGCCUGCGGAAAGAACAAUAGACCAUACCACCGGGACUACAAAUGUAAGCCAGAGCGCCUCAAAGCUAAAACUUAUACUCCUUGCCUCCACAUGUGUCCCCCAAAAAAGUUUUUUAGGGGAGGUACAUUUUUUAUGUUGAGGAAUUAAAAACAAGAGGUAAAGUCAUUACUUAAAUUAUUCGUUGAAAGCAUCAAUAAUAGUGAACAGAUGACCCCUCUGGGUACGUAGACAGCAUGUUGGCAACAUACUUCUUUGGAAUAAUGUCGUCAAACUCCAGGAAUUCACUCCUAAAUGCCGAGAAAUAGCUCCUACACUCUGGAAAAACCACAACCUGUCAUUUUCUUAUUUCCAUCUUCUCACCUGGGGCAGUGGGAACAAGCUGUAAACACAAAAUGGAUAUAUUAUCACCUGUUAAAUCGAUUUAGAAUGAGCAGAAACAGUUCGACACUUCAUCUGUUUGGUGUUGUGCUUGAGACCACCUCGAAGUUGGUUCAAAUAUGAUCUUCUCGUAUGUUUGUCGUUUGUCCUCAAACUUCUGAAAGAGUUAAAAGAUUCUGGAAGUUGACUGGUAAAUUCCACAUACCACUCCAUGUACGGUCUGUAUGGUGCAACUCCUACAAAGAGUUAAUGUAAUGACAUGGUAAAAGUCACCCGCUGUGAGAGGAAUGCAGCUCUGAGACACUCUUAAUGGUUCCAUGUAAGGCUUACAGUAUAGACUAUAUAUAUAUACAGCUCCAUCGUACAUAUUAACACAUCAUAUAAUAUGCAGCCUUUGAAGUCUCAUCGGCUUUGUUAUGGCCCAGCUGGGGCGCCGACUGACUAUCAACAUUAAGGUGUUAUGAUGGUGUUGAAUUCCUGUUUUAAGGCUUUUUAAUUCAAACUGUAAGACAACAAAACAAAGAAGGUAUAUGUGAUUUUUCUUUAGGGACUUGAAAGAAAACAUUACAAAGCACCAAUAAAGUAGGGUGACCAUAUUCUGAAUCCCCAAAAAGAGGACACUACUACAUAGGGCGAAGUCACAGAAUCGUGCAUAGUUAAUUUUGAGAGGUUUUCAGGUCGGGAAGAGUGUUUUUUAUGUGCUUCUAACUCAGUUACUCACAUUUGAAAUAUCGCUCAGUCAAAGCUCGUACAGACUAGACAGCCCCCCAAAAAGAGGAAAUGUCCAGGUAAAAGAGGACGUAUGGUCACCCUACAACAGGAGACUUUGCCACAGUUAAAAGCCAAAAUAUAGCCAAUCACAGUGCUUCUGUUCCCUAUUUUUCCUGUUCUCCUGUAGUCCAGUCUUGUGAGUUUUCAGUUUGUGUUUGACCCUGAUUCCCUCCUGUUCUCUGUGUUUUAUUCUUCAUAUCAGUUUUCAGUGUUUAUUUCCUGUUUUAUUUUGUAGUAGUUGAUUCCUUGUGUUUCUAGUCUGGUUUUACUUCCCUAGUUUUCCCUCCUUUGUUUGAGUUUCACCUAUGUCUCGUCUGCCUCACCUGUUGCUCGUUUCCCAGUGUCUAUAUAUCUCUGUCUUCCCCUCUGUCCUGGUUGGUUCAUUGUGUGCUGAUGUGUGAUUUUUUUCCUGAGUGUCUUUAGUUGGAUUUUGCCCUUUUGGAACUUUUUGGUUGGACAUUUUGGAAGUAAGUUUUUGUUGCUUUUUAUUUUGUUCUUUUUUUUUAAUAAAUCCUUUUUUUGGGGGGGUCCUUUCCCUUUUUGUUAAACCCUGGCUCAUGACACUGUGAGUGUGAGACAUCCUUUAAACUGUGACAAGACAUGUUACAACACUAUGCCAAUAUCAAAGCUUAGAUAUAUCAGUCAUCUUGAUUAACUAGAUUACAGAUAAUCCAGUUUUUUGAAGCGUUAACAGGUUUCAGCUUGUUUGUGGCACCAGAAACUGACAACAUGAUGAUUUUCCAGUUUCACAGAGCUGUUAAGAUGGACAGAAAGAGUUAAAAAUCUAUACUAUUAGAGUCAAAUUCUCCUCCUGGGCAGGCUUGACAGGCAGCUGUGAGACAUUUGCAAUUUUCCUCUCACAAAGAAUGCAGCAGCAGCCAUAUGAACAGUGUUAUGUCAGUUUUACGAGUCCUGAUGAAGACAAGAUUUCCCAGUGCAAAAGAAAAGAACCUUCUUAAAUGAUUUUUGGGCAUAUUUAACGACUCAGCUGUCCAACCUGAAUGAUUUAUGGUCUGUCACACAACUCUGAUGAAUAAUGAGGAGGGGAUCUGAAAGCUGCAAAGCUCUGGGAAAUUAUAUACAAAAAAAAAAAAAAUGUACACGAAACUGAAGAGGAGACUUGAUGUGGGAAUCAGUCAACGAGGUGUGGUGCAAAUGAGUGAUGUGUGAGGAAUUCUGGAUGGCAGAGACCAAAGCGAAAACAAACACUGCAUGUACAGAGUGCGGUGAGUUUGCAGCUUCCAAGAACAAGCUGGAUUAAACUCUCCGUUGCAUGAGUUUAGCCGUCAGGAGAGCUGGCGAGUUACUCUGCAAAACAAAAGAUGACUCAAACGGCACACCCUGGCCGACCAAACGUUUAGAUCUUAAUCAAUCUCUAUGUGUUAAACGGCUCUUCAGUUGUCUUUACCUGUAGAAAAGCGCAUCCCCUGGGUGAGCUACGCAAUCUUCGUAUGCCCAUAGGCUGUAUCGAGUGUCAAUCAUAGAAAACAUGAACCCUCUAAUAACUUUUAAAAAUUGAGCUGCACAGAAAAAAGAGGACUUGAGCAAAAACCAGUCUGACAACAAUUACAUGUCAACACCGCAAGCAGGGUGGAGAAAAAAUUUUAUUCUGUAUGAUUAAUUUCUAAAUUUUGUCCCAGCUCCAUAGGGAUCGCUGGAGGAGGCGGG